rnacentral:lncRNA from 1 species
CCAGUGGGAGAAAUUAAUUCAAAAAAUUGCAAGGCAAAUCUCUGUUUCAAAUACUAACUAAUAUUUCAAGCAUGUUAGCCCUUCUUUAUUUGAUCAUUAACAACAGGCAAUUCCGGAAUCCAAGCAGGUUAUAUCGAUCAUAAUUGAAAAAACAAUAAUUUAUGCACAAGUUCAGACAAAGUAUGUUACCAUAGCUGAACUCUACUGUAAAUAGGUCUCGGAAGUGAUCCUUUUGGUAGUCCAAGUGCCGCUUCAACACCCUCAAGCAUGCUUGUUUUCACCUUUUCCGCUGUUUGACUUGGUAUAUUUUCCUGGUAAUGCAAUUCGAAAAACUUAUACAUAUCUGACAAAACCCCCCAAACUACUAUAGUUUCAAACACAAUAUAACAGUAAUAUCACCAAGGUUCAACAUAGAGCGGGAUAGUCCACGAGAAUCACAAAGCUUUUCAUCGGUCCAAAACUAACCUGAGGAACCUUGUUUUGUUUUCCAUAGGCUGCGGUGCUGAAAAAAGUCCAACAGUGAGGACCAUUACUCUGAGAACCCAAAAGCUUCAGUGAAUUGUUUGCCAUCCAAGAUACGGAAUCAACUCCCUUAACAAAAGCUCCUUGAAAUGUCACUUUACCAUCUCCCAUAGGAAGGGGAUGCUCGAAUGCUGCAAGAAGUGCCCAUAUUGAACUCAAAUCUAGCCUCUAC